GACGAACGCUGGCGGCGUGCUUAACACAUGCAAGUCGAACGGAAAGGCCCUGCUUGCAGGGUACUCGAGUGGCGAACGGGUGAGUAACACGUGGGUGAUCUGCCCUGCACUUCGGGAUAAGCCUGGGAAACUGGGUCUAAUACCGGAUAGGAGCCAUUUUUACUGUGAUGGUUGGAAAGUUUUUUCGGUGUAGGAUGAGCUCGCGGCCUAUCAGCUUGUUGGUGGGGUAAUGGCCUACCAAGGCGGCGACGGGUAGCCGGCCUGAGAGGGUGGACGGCCACAUUGGGACUGAGAUACGGCCCAGACUCCUACGGGAGGCAGCAGUAGGGAAUCUUCCGCAAUGGGCGAAAGCCUGACGGAGCAACGCCGCGUGAGUGAUGAAGGUCUUCGGAUCGUAAAACUCUGUUAUUAGGGAAGAACAUAUGUGUAAGUAACUGUGCACAUCUUGACGGUACCUAAUCAGAAAGCCACGGCUAACUACGUG
rnacentral:rRNA from 1 species